rnacentral:rRNA from 1 species
UACGGAGGGUGCGAGCGUUGUCCGGAAUCACUGGGCGUAAAGGGCGCGUAGGCGGCGCGGGUAGUCAUCGGUGAAAGUUCAGGGCUCAACUCUGAAUCGGCCGGUGAUACUCUCGUGCUUGAGCACUGUAGAGGCAGGUGGAAUUCCGGGUGUAGCGGUGGAAUGCGUAGAGAUCCGGAAGAACACCGGGUGGCGAAGGCGGCC